GACGAACGCUGGCGGCGUGCUUAACACAUGCAAGUCGAACGGAAAGGCCCUGCUUUUGUGGGGUGCUCGAGUGGCGAACGGGUGAGUAACACGUGAGUAACCUGCCCUUGACUUUGGGAUAACUUCAGGAAACUGGGGCUAAUACCGGAUAGGAGCUCCUGCUGCAUGGUGGGGGUUGGAAAGUUUCGGCGGUUGGGGAUGGACUCGCGGCUUAUCAGCUUGUUGGUGGGGUAGUGGCUUACCAAGGCUUUGACGGGUAGCCGGCCUGAGAGGGUGACCGGCAACAUUGGGACUGAGAGACGGACCAGACUCCUACGGGAGGCAGCAGUGGGGAAUAUUGCACAAUGGGCGGAAGCCUGAUGCAGAAACGCCGCGUGCGGGAUGACGGCCUUCGGGUUGUAAACCGCUUUAGACUGUGACGAAGCGUGAGUGACGGUAAUGGGUAAAGAAGCACCGGCUAACUACGUG
rnacentral:rRNA from 1 species